rnacentral:ncRNA from 2 species
CCUUCACCCCCGAUCUACGGUGCCAUACUACCCAGCGGGUAGCAGUUGGCUUAAUAGGGAAUCUGGUGUAAAACCAGAGCUGUCCCCGCAACUGUAAGUUUCGAUUAGGCUGUGCGCACAGUCUUUUUAGUUGUUGCCCUUUUCUCGCCACUGGAGCAAUUCUCAACUCCGGGAAGGCAGGCAACAAUGAAACGAGCCAGGAGACCUGCCGCCGAUAAUUCUUAGCC